rnacentral:rRNA from 1 species
GAGUUUGAUCCUGGCUCAGAUUGAACGCUGGCGGCAUGCCUUACGCAUGCAAGUCGAACGGCAGCACGGGUGCUUGCACCUGGUGGCGAGUGGCGAACGGGUGAGUAAUACAUCGGAACAUGUCCUGUAGUGGGGGAUAGCCCGGCGAAAGCCGGAUUAAUACCGCAUACGAUCUGAGGAUGGAAGCGGGGGACCUUCGGGCCUCGCGCUAUAGGGUUGGCCGAUGGCUGAUUAGCUAGUUGGUGGGGUAAAGGCCUACCAAGGCGACGAUCAGUAGCUGGUCUGAGAGGACGACCAGCCACACUGGGACUGAGACACGGCCCAGACUCCUACGGGAGGCAGCAGUGGGGAAUUUUGGACAAUGGGCGAAAGCCUGAUCCAGCAAUGCCGCGUGUGUGAAGAAGGCCUUCGGGUUGUAAAGCACUUUUGUCCGGAAAGAAAUCCUUGGUUCUAAUAUAGCCGGGGGAUGACGGUACCGGAAGAAUAAGCACCGGCUAACUACGUGCCAGCAGCCGCGGUAAUACGUAGGGUGCAAGCGUUAAUCGGAAUUACUGGGCGUAAAGCGUGCGCAGGCGGUUUGCUAAGACCGAUGUGAAAUCCCCGGGCUCAACCUGGGAACUGCAUUGGUGACUGGCAGGCUAGAGUAUGGCAGAGGGGGUAGAAUUCCACGUGUAGCAGUGAAAUGCGUAGAGAUGUGGAGGAAUACCGAUGGC